rnacentral:rRNA from 1 species
UACAUAGGUGGCAAGCGUUACUCGGAAUUACUAGGCGUAAAGCGCGUGCAGGCGGAUGCUUAAGUCUGUAGUUUAAUCUCCCGGCUCAACCGGGAAAGGUCUGCGGAUACUGAGCAUCUGGAGUGGGACAGAGGAAGCUGGAAUUCCCGGUGUAGCGGUGAAAUGCGUAGAUAUCGGGAAGAACACCGGCGGCGAAGGCGGGCUUCUGGGUCCUUACUGACGCUGAGACGCGAAAGCGAGGGGAGCAAACAGGAUUAGAUACCCGGGUAGUCCUAGCCGUAAACGAUGGAAACUAGGUGUGGGAGGUAUCGACCCCUUCCGUGCCGACGCUAACGCAUUAAGUUUCCCGCCUGGGGAGUACGGCCGCAAGGUUAAA